rnacentral:lncRNA from 1 species
CUUUGCCGACAUUUAUUGCUUUUUACAGUUUAUCUCUAUCUAUAAUAAUAUUCAAGAUAAUAACAAACUAGAGGCUCUAAAGAGCCUGUGUCGCUCACCUUGGUCUAUGUGAAUAUUAAAGGAAGCAAAUGGAUUCAUGACAAAAUUGUGUUUUGGUGAUGGUGAUGUGUUUGUACAUCUUACUUUACUGAACAUUCUUGCUGCUUAAAAUUAUCUCUAUCUAUAAUGAACUUGGCCCAUUAGUUUCAGUGGAAAAUGUAAGUAAAAAUUUACAAAUUUUAUGAAAAUUGUUAAAAAUUGACUAUAAAGAACAAUAACUCCUAAGGGGGUUAAUUGACCAUUUUGGUCAUGUUGGCUUAUUUGUAAAACUUACUUUGCUGAACAUUAUUGUUGUUUACAGUUU